rnacentral:rRNA from 1 species
CCUACGGGUGGCAGCAGUAGGGAAUCUUCCACAAUGGGCGAAAGUCUGAUGGAGCAACGCCGCGUGGGUGAAGAAGGCCCUCGGAUUGUAAAACUCCGUUGAUAGAGAAGUAAGUGCGUGUGCGUAACUGUUUAUGUAUCGACGGUAUCUAUCCAGAUAGCCUCGGCUAACUCCGUGCCAGCAGCCGCGGUAAUACGUAGGGGCCUAGCGUUGUCCGGAUUUAUUGGGCGUAAAGGGAACGCAGGCGGUAUUUUAAGUCAGAUGUGAAAGCCUUCGGCUUAACCGGAGUAGUGCAGUUGAAACUGGGAGACUUGAGUACAGAAGAGGAGGGCGGAAUU